rnacentral:rRNA from 1 species
GAGUUUGAUCGUGGCUCAGAACGAACGCUGGCGGCAGGCCUAACACAUGCAAGUCGAACGCACUCUUCGGAGUGAGUGGCAGACGGGUGAGUAACGCGUGGGAACCUUCCCAAUGGUGCGGAAUAGCCCAGGGAAACUUGGGGGUAAUACCGCAUACGCCCUACCGGGGAAAGGAAUUAUCGCCACUUGGUAGUGGGCCCGGCCGUCGGA